CACGUAGGGCGCGAGCGUUGUCCGGAAUUAUUGGGCGUAAAGAGCUCGUAGGCGGCCUGUUGCGUCCGCUGUGAAAGCCCGGGGCUUAACCCCGGGUCUGCAGUGGAUACGGGCAGGCUAGAGGUAGGUAGGGGAGAAUGGAAUUCCCGGUGUAGCGGUGAAAUGCGCAGAUAUCGGGAGGAACACCGGUGGCGAAGGCGGUUCUCUGGGCCUUACCUGACGCUGAGGAGCGAAGGCGUGGGGAGCGAACAGG
rnacentral:rRNA from 1 species